UAAGUUAGUGGCGAACGGGUGAGUAACGCGUAGGCAACCUGCCCUUUAGACGGGGACAACAUUCCGAAAGGAGUGCUAAUACCGGAUGUGAUCAUCGUGCCGCAUGGCAGGAUGAAGAAAGAUGGCCUCUACAAGUAAGCUAUCGCUAAAGGAUGGGCCUGCGUCUGAUUAGCUAGUUGGUAGUGUAACGGACUACCAAGGCGAUGAUCAGUAGCCGGUCUGAGAGGAUGAACGGCCACAUUGGGACUGAGACACGGCCCAAACUCC
rnacentral:rRNA from 1 species